AUGCCACCGGAUAGAGAUAUUGAGUUUUUGAUUGAGCUAUUGCCAGGCACAGGGCCAAUAUCAAAGAGACCAUAUAGGAUGCCAGCAAAGGAUUUGGUGGAAAUUAAGAAGCAGAUUAAGGAGUUACUGGAUAAGGGAUAUAUUCGCCCAAGUUCUUCACCUUGGGGAUCACCAGUACUUCUAGUGGAGAAGAAGGAUGGAUCAUUAAGGAUGGUUGUUGAUUAUCAAGGAUUGCAUGAAGUAACAAUCAAGAAUAAGUACCCACUACCAAUGAUUAAUGAUCUGUUUGAUCGAUUGCAAGGAGCUAAGGUAUUUUCCAAGAUCGAUCUGCGAUCAGGAUACCACCAGUUGAAGAUUCGAGAACAGGAUAUACCUAAGACAGCUUUUACCACCAGGUACGGGCUAUACGAGUAUACCAUUAUGUCAUUCAGUCUGACUAACGCACCUGCCUAUUUUAUGAACAUGAUGAACAAAGUGUUUAUGGAAUUUUUGGAUAAGUUCAUCGUGGUGUUCAUUGAUGAUAUCCUGGUAUAUUCGAAGAAUGAAGAGGAGCAUAAGGAUCAUUUGCGUUUGGUACUUGGAAAGCUCACAGAACAUCAAUUAUAUGCCAAGUUCAGCAAAUGUGAGUUUUGGUUGAAGGAAGUAGGAUUCCUCGGACACGUUAUAUCUGGAGAAGGUAUAGCAGUUGAUCCCACUAAAGUUGAUACCGUGACCAAGUGGGAAGCCCCAACAACAGUUGGAGAGAUCCGGAGUUUUCUUGGACUCGCAGGAUACUACCGAAGAUUUAUUGAGAAUUUCUCAAAGAUUGCGAAGCCUAUGACUGAGUUGUUGAAGAAAGAUACCAAGUUCAUAUGGACGGAGGAAUGUGAGGCUAGUUUCCAGGAGUUGAAGAAACGUUUGGUUACCUCACCAGUGUUGAUUUUGCCAGACCAGACCAAAGAUUAUGAGGUGUAUUGCGACGCUUCACGUCGAGGACUUGGAGCAGUGCUUAUGCAGGAAGGGAGAGUUGUUUCAUAUGCCUCAAGACAACUG
rnacentral:rRNA from 1 species